rnacentral:rRNA from 1 species
ACUUGGUUUUAAUUGAACGAUCUUUGAGUAGUAAACAGUUAUAACCUCGAAACUCAAAGGAUUUGGCGGUAUCUAAGUCUGGUUAGAGGAAUUUGUGCAGUAAACGAUAAUCCGCGAGAAUCUAGCCUUACCUUGUAAAGGUCAGUUUGUAUACCGCCAUUAUUAGAUAAUCUUAUAUAAAGAGUUGUUGAAAUCAAGAACUAGUUGAGUAUAUUAGGUCAAGGUGCAGCUUAUGGUAAGGAUGUCAUGAAUUACAUUGAUAAUAAGUGUUAAACGAAUAAGUUCUGGUUGUAGAGCUUUGAAGGUGGAUUUAAUUGUAAAAGAUGUGAAUUUUGCUUGUUUGGUAAAAGCUCUUGGAUAUGU